rnacentral:tRNA from 1 species
UCCCUGGUGGUUCAGACGGUAAAGCGUCUGCCUGCAGUGCAGGAGACCCGGGUUCGAUCCCUGGGUUGGGAA